rnacentral:sRNA from 1 species
CUUCUGCACCCACUCAUUCCUGGCCAUUGUGACCUCAUGUAAUCCUCGAUGUUCUUUCACUCCAUGCUCUGUGCUUGUGUAGUUUCUAACAAUUCUUUCACAUAGCUCUUAAUGUUCUUUCACUCUAUACUCUGUACUUAUAUAGUUUCUAACAAUUCUUCUGCAUAGCUUUUAAUGUUCUUCUGCUCUGUGUUUCACACUCACAUAGUCUCUAACAAUUCUUCCACAUAGCUCUCAAUGAUUCCCUCAUUCCACACUCCACAUUUGUGUAGUUUCUAACAAUUCUUAUGUAUAUCUCUUAAUAUUCUUCUGCUUCACAUUUCACUGUGAAGCAGUUUCUGAUAUUCUUUCAUUCUGAACUUUCUUCUAUAAGAAUCCUCUUCAUACAAUCUUUUCUUCUGAUUUCUUUUCUCUUUCUUUUCUUAAUCAAUUCAUAAUCUGUAAUUAGGAU